rnacentral:rRNA from 1 species
GACGAACGCUGGCGGCGUGCUUAACACAUGCAAGUCGAACGCUGAAGCUUGGUGCUUGCACUGGGUGGAUGAGUGGCGAACGGGUGAGUAAUACGUGAGUAACCUGCCCUUGACUCUGGGAUAAGCCUGGGAAACUGGGUCUAAUACUGGAUACGACAUGCCACUGCAUGGUGGUGUGUGGAAAGGGUUUUACUGGUUUUGGAUGGGCUCACGGCCUAUCAGCUUGUUGGUGGGGUAAUGGCCUACCAAGGCGACGACGGGUAGCCGGCCUGAGAGGGUGACCGGCCACACUGGGACUGAGACACGGCCCAGACUCCUAAGGGAGGCAGCAGUGGGGAAUAUUGCACAAUGGGCGGAAGCCUGAUGCAGCGACGCCGCGUGAGGGAUGACGGCCUUCGGGUUGUAAACCUCUUUCAGCACGGAAGAAGCGAGAGUGACGGUACGUGCAGAAGAAGCGCCGGCUAACUACGUG